CCCUUAGAUGUCCUGGGCUGCACGCGCGCUACACUGACGAACUCAGCGAGCUUAUCACCUUGGCAGAGAUGUCUGGGUAAUCUUUUGAAAGUUCGUCGUGCUGGGGAUAGAUGAUUGUAAUUAUUCGUCUUGAACGAGGAAUUCCUAGUAAGUGUGAGUCAUCAGCUCGCGCUGAUUACGUCCCUGCCCUUUGUACACACCGCCCGUCGCUCCUACCGAUUGAAUGGUCCGGUGAGGUUCUCGGAUUUUUUCUGUUGUUUGGUUCGCUAAACGAUUGAAGAGAGAAGUUACCCAAACCUUACCAUUUAGAGGAAGGAGAAGUCGUAACA
rnacentral:rRNA from 1 species